GACGAACGCUGGCGGCGUGCUUAACACAUGCAAGUCGAACGAAGUGGCGAACGGGUGAGCAACGCGUAAUUAACCUGCCCUUCAGAGGGGGACAACAGUUGGAAACGACUGCUAAUACCGCAUACUGAAGGAGGGGAUUUCGUCUGAUUAGCUAGUUGGAGGGGUAACGGCCCAACACGGCGAUGAUCAGUAGCCGGUCUGAGAGGAUGAAGGGCCACAUUGGGAAUGAGACACGGCCCAAACUCCUACGGGAGGCAGCAGGGGGGAAGCUUACGCAAUGGACGAAAGUCUGACGGAGCAAAGCCGCGUUAGUUAUGACGGGCUUCGGGUUGUAAAGCUCUGUUAAUCGGGACGCGGUACCGGAAUAGAAAGCCACGGCUAACUACGUGCCAGCAGCCGCGGUAAUAG
rnacentral:rRNA from 1 species